rnacentral:rRNA from 1 species
GACGAACGCUGGCGGCGUGCUUAACACAUGCAAGUCGAACGGUGAAGCGCCUUCCUUUUUGGUGGGUGUGGAUGAGUGGCGAACGGGUGAGUAACACGUGAGUAACCUGCCCCCUUCUUCUGGAUAACCGCAUGAAAGUGUGGCUAAUACGGGCUAUUCUGGGUCUGUCGCAUGAUGGGUCUGGGAAAGAUAUUGUUUCGGUGGGGGAUGGGCUCGCGGCCUAUCAGCUUGUUGGUGGGGUGAUGGCCUACCAAGGCGGUGACGGGUAGCCGGCCUGAGAGGGUGGAGGGUCACACUGGGGCUGUGACACGGCCAAGACUCGUACGGGAGGCAGCAGUGGGGAAUAUUGCACAAUGGGCGCAAGCCUGAUGCAGCGACGCCGCGUGAGGGAUGGAGGCCUUCGGGUUGUGAACCUCUUUCGCCAGUGAAGCAGGCCUGCCUCGUUUGUGGGUGGGUUGACGGUAGCUGGAUAAGAAGCGCCGGCUAACUACGUG